rnacentral:rRNA from 1 species
GACAGAGGGUGCAAACGUUGCUCGGAAUCACUGGGCGUAAAGGGCGCGUAGGCGGCCUUCUAAGUCAGACGUGAAAUCCCCAGGCUCAACCUGGGAACUGCGUCUGAUACUGGAUGGCUUGAAUCCGGGAGAGGGAUGCAGAAUUCCAGGUGUAGCGGUGAAAUGCGUAGAUAUCUGGAGGAAUACCGGUGGCGAAGGCGGCAUCCUGGACCGGCAUUGACGCUGAGGAGCGAAAGCUAGGGGAGCAAACGGG